UACGUAGGGGGCAAGCGUUGUCCGGAAUCAUUGGGCGUAAAGAGCGUGUAGGCGGCCCGAUAAGUCCGCUGUGAAAGUCCAGGGCUCAACCCUGGAAUGCCGGUGGAUACUGUCGGGCUCGAAUCCGGAAGAGGGAUGCGGAAUUCCAGGUGUAGCGGUGAAAUGCGUAGAUAUCUGGAGGAACACCGGUGGCGAAGGCGGCAUCCUGGGCCGGUAUUGACGCUGAGGAGCGAAAGCCAGGGGAGCAAACGGG
rnacentral:rRNA from 1 species